ACUUAAAUCAAGUUUCACAUUUUCCUUUGCUAUCAUGUCAGAAUCAACGAUGUAAAAAUGGGGUCUCAAAUGAAAUUGGCAAUUUGCACACCUACGCUCGUUGUAAUGACUAAAAGUUAGUAAAUACAUCUAAAUUCUACGUAGAUAUCUGUGUUGUGCAAAAAUACAGAAUUUUAUUUUGUGCAUCUCGUUUUAACCGGGCUUAAAGAAGUUUGUGUACUCGUAUGUAUAUAUCUACAUCAUCUUUGAUACAUUUACUUUACAUCAUCCCACCUGCAUGAUUUGCUAUUUUUCGUCAUUUUCUUCUCUAUUGGUACUUGGUCACAGGAAACUAGCCAAACAAAUUGAUCGGCAGGUAAAAAAAUCCAAAUCCAAACAUCAAAUUGACCAAAUAAGAAGGGUUGGGUUUGUUUUUGGCAAUUGGUUUGCCGUUUCACUAAACUACACGCAGAGUGAGAACGAAUGCCAAAAUAAAUUCGUGGUAAACCAUCGGUCAAUACAUUGAAUAGAAAACGAAAAACUUUCAAAUCACCACUUGUCACAUCACUUGAACAAUUUUUGCACAACGCUGUAAACAAAAGAAGAAUAUACACAAAGACCAAAAGUGUGACGACAAACUUACCAACAG